CCGACAACAGGCGGCACGCAUCGGGAGGAGUCGUCAGAGAGAUGAUGUUGGCUAUGCAUCCCUCCGGCAAAGCCUCCACCGUCACUGCGCCGUAGGUGAUUUCUCCUCCUCCUCCUCCUCCUCCUACUCCUAGUUCAUCUUCUUCAUCAACACGCAUUGUUUGCUUCCUGCUCUGUUUUUCUGCGUGCUGUCUUCUUCUUCUUCCUUUGGUGAGUUUCUGGGCGCAUGAAUUGUGUGGAAGUUUUGUCUCCGGUCUGGUCCAGUUCUUUCCUUAAGAGAUCGCCACGUUUUGAAACUUAAAAACGUGACUCGAACCAAUAAACACAAAUGCAGAAUUCAUAGCACAUGAUGACACUCCAUUAUCUGUGUUCCGGUUUCACACUUUCACCACUCCAUUUAUAUGUAACUCUUAACAAAGUAACCAACAGCCUCAUACUAUUCCAUAGCUGGUUAGCAAAGAAAGAUGCUUGAAUAUUGUGUGACUGGAGGUACCGGUUUCAUAGCUGCAUACUUGGUGAAGGCUUUGCUAGAAAAUGGCCAUGAGGUACGGGCAACUGUGCGAGACCCAGAGGAUUUGGGGAAGGUUUGUCAUCUGUGAGAGUUGAAUGGAGCCAAGGAAAGGCUUUGAUGAAGCUGAUCUAAUGAUGGAAAGAAUCUUUGAUGAAGCAAUACAAGGCGUUUAGGGGGGUUUUCACACUUUUAAUGAACUUCUUUCUUGGCAGGCGACUUUGAUUGAUCCAUGUAUAUAGGGAACCAUGAGUGUGUUGAGUUCCUGCUCGAAAGCACUCGUGAAAAGGGUUGUGCUCAAUAAGAUACCGUUACGAUGCUCAAGAGGCCUCUCCUCUCAAUGAGUCACAUUGGAGUGAUCCUGAAUGCUGCAAACACUUCAAUCUUUGGUAUGUCUAUGCAAAGACAACAACGGAGAAAGAGGCGUGGAGAAUGGCCGAGGAGAUGGAUCUAGUGGUUGUGAAUCCGUCUUCCGGGGUUGGUCCUCUGCUAGCACCACAACCUACAAACACACUGCUGAUGAUACUGGCAAUACUUAAAAGGUUAGGUUUAAGAGGUGAGUACCCAAAUACAACAGUAGGAUUUGUGCACAUAGAUGAUGUGGUAGCUGCACACAUUUUGGCAAUGGAGGAAAGCAAAGCAUCAGGCAGGCUUAUAUGUUCAAGCUCGGUAGCGCGCUGAUCGCAGAUCAUUGAGAUGCUCAAGGCCAAAUCCAUCCUAUCCAUAUGAAAGCAAGUGUGGCACCAAUGAAGGAGACAAUAGCCCUCAUAGCAUGGACACCACUAAAAUAGCUCAACUGGGUUUUCCUCCUUUCAAAACGCGUGAAAAAAUGUUUGAUGACUGCAUCACAAGCUAACAAAGUUUUCAAGAGAAAGGGUUUUUGUGA